GAUGAACGCUGGCGGCGUGCCUAAUACAUGCAAGUCGAGCGAAGCGGGGACGGGUGAGUAACACGUCGAUAACCUCCUAUAAGACUGGGAUAACCUCGUGAAACCGGAGCUAAACCGGAUACUGUGAGAUUGAUCCGCGCUGCAUUAGCUAGUUGGUAAGGUAACCGCUUACCAAGGCAACGAUGCAUAGCCGACCUGAGAGGGUGACCGGCCACACUGGAACUGAGACACGGUCAAGACUCCUACGGGAGGCAGCAGUAGGGAAUCGUACACAAUGGGCGAAAGCCUGACGGAGCAACGCCGCGUGAGUGAUGAAGGUCUUCGGAUCGUAAAACACUGUUAUUAGGGAAGCGGUACCUAAUCAGAAAGCCACGGCUAACUACGUGCCAGCCGCCGCGGUAAUUC
rnacentral:rRNA from 1 species